UACGUAGGGACCGAGCGUUGUCCGGAUUCAUUGGGCAUAAAGAGCUCGUAGGCGGCUGCUCAAGUCGAAUGUGAAAACUCGAGGCUCAACCUCGAGCCUGCAUUCGAUACUGGGCGGCUAGAGUCUGGUAGGGGGAUCUGGAAUUCCUGGUGUAGCGGUGAAAUGCGCAGAUAUCAGGAGGAACACCGGUGGCGAAGGCGGGUCUCUGGGCCGAUACUGACGCUGAGGAGCGAAAGCGUGGGGAGCGAACAGG
rnacentral:rRNA from 1 species